rnacentral:rRNA from 1 species
AUGCCCACGCCGGCGCCGCACCUCGUCGACGAAAUCCUGGAGGAGAUCUUCCUCCGCCUGCCCACCCCGGCCGAGCUCGCCCGCGCCUCAACCGCCUGCCCCCGUUUCCGCCGCAUCAUCACCGACCGCUCCUUCCUCCGCCGCCACCGCAAACGCCACCCACCUCCGCUCCUCGGCCUCGUAAACGUGGAUGGCAGCUUCCAACCAGCCGAGGCGCCCCACCCCUCCGCCCCGCUCGCCCGCGCUCUCGCCGACGCCGCUGAUUUCACCUACUCCUUCGUCCCCGUGCCCAGCAGUGGCAUCCCCUGGCAUGUCCGCGACGUCUGCGAUGGCCGAGUCCUCCUCGAGGCCUGCCAAGUUUUGGAGACCCUCAAAGACAUGGCGGUGUGCGAUCCCUUGUCACGCCGCUACGUGCUGCUCCCGCCCAUACCGACGGACCUCGCUGUCCAGGAAGAGUACCCAUUUGAUAUCGUGCCCAUCCUUGCUCCCAUCGGGGAUGAUGAAGAUGAUGUGUCGUUCAAGGUGAUAUGCUUAGCCAUCUAUGGUUCCAAGCUAACCGCCUUUGUCUUCUCGUCUGUCACACAGCAAUGGUGUAUGGCUGCAUCUAUCGGUUGGAGUUUGUUAGGCGUGCACCACGGUCCCCUUGGACCGUGCAUGUUGUCCACUUAUGGGUUCUGUGGCUUGUCCGGUUUCGACAACGAGGGCGGAUGCUUCUACUUGGCGUCACCUUUGUUAGACAAGUUGUUCGUGCUGGACACACAGAAAAUGGAGUUUUUCACUGUCAACCAUCACACUGGCUACUAUGUACUCCUCAAACUUCUGCCUGGCCGGAUACUCGAAGUUCUCGCCAGAUACGAUGAUCCCCAUAGAAUUCAAGACAGAAUUAUGCCUGGCAUUGUAGUAGGUAGAGAAGGAUACCUUGAGAUGUUUUCUCUCAUCGGUGAUCACAGCCCAAAUGGCUCAUUUGAUCUCUAUCAUACGACUCAGCAAAGCAAUGGUGAAUCUUCCAAUGAAUGGCGGAUGAAGAAUAUUAUACCGUUGCCUGGAGGGCAUGACUAUUUCACCAUGAGUGCUGCUGAGGGAUUCUUAUUCCUUGGAGCCACUACAAAAGAUCAAGUGGACUUUGAUAGAGAGUCUGGACCGCCGUUGUCCAGGACUGAUUGGGAUGUAGAUUAUUUUUCGCUUGAGGUCAAGACUUCUGAAGUGAGGAAGGUUUGCACGAGCAAGGGGAAAUUCUUCCAUGCUGAACAUGUUCACUGGUACUUUGGCUACCCCCCGCCGCUGUCAAAACCGAGUGUAUGA